rnacentral:rRNA from 1 species
GGGAUCGAAGAUGAUUAGAUACCAUCGUAGUCUUAACCGUAAACUAUGCCGACUUGCGAUUGUCCGAUGUUUAUUGUAGACUUGGGCAGCAGCACAUGAGAAAUCAAAGUUUUUGGGUUCCGGGGGGAGUAUGGUCGCAAGGCUGAAACUUAAAGGAAUUGACGGAAGGGCACACCAGGAGUGGAGCCUGCGGCUUAAUUUGACUCAACACGGGGAAACUUACCAGGUCCAGACUUCGCGAGGAUUGACAGAGUGAGAUCUCUGUCUUGAUUCGAAGGGUGGUGGUGCAUGGCCGUUCCUAGUUGGUGGAGUGAUUUGUCUGGUUGAUUCCGUUAACGAACGAGACCUCGGCCUGCUAAAUAGCGGGGGGUUCCUCGCGGAACCCGGCGGGCCUUUUCCAGUGCCCGCCCUCGCGCGCUUCUUAGAGGGACAAUUCGGUUCUACCGGAAGGAAGUUUGUG